rnacentral:piRNA from 1 species
UCUCAUUUGUUAACGAUUAGAGCAUUUAGU